AUACUCCGAGAACUGAAAGGCUUUUUGAAGUCUUCGGAUGGAUAGAAGAACCCCUGAUGCCGUCGAGCCAAGAAAAGUUUCUAAGUUUAGCUAAUGUUGCCCGUACCGUAAACCGACACAGGUGGGUGGGAUGAGUAUUCUAAGGCGCGUGGAAGAACUCUCUUUAAGGAACUCUGCAAAAUAGCACCGUAUCUUCGGUAUAAGGUGUGGUUCGCUUCGUAUUAGGAUUUACUCCGAAAGCGAAGAAACUUACAACAAAGAGUCCCUCCCGACUGUUUACCAAAAACACAGCACUCUGCUAACUCGUAAGAGGAUGUAUAGGGUGUGACGCCUGCCCGGUGCUCGAAGGUUAAUUGAUGGGGUUAGCAUUAGCGAAGCUCUUGAUCGAAGCCCGAGUAAACGGCGGCCGUAACUAUAACGGUCCUAAGGUAGCGAAAUUCCUUGUCGGUUAAAUACCGACCUGCAUGAAUGGCGUAACGAGAUGGGAGCUGUCUCAAAGAGGGAUCCAGUGAAAUUGUAGUGGAGGUGAAAAUUCCUCCUACCCGCGGCAAGACGGAAAGACCCCGUGGACCUUUACUACAGCUUGACACUGCUACUUGGAUAAGAAUGUGCAGGAUAGGUGGGAGGCUUUGAGUAUAUGACGCCAGUUGUAUAUGAGCCAUUGUUGAGAUACCACUCUUUCUUAUUUGGGUAGCUAACCAGCUUGAGUUAUCCUCAAGUGGGACAAUGUCUGGUGGGUAGUUUGACUGGGGCGGUCGCCUCCCAAAUAAUAACGGAGGCUUACAAAGGUUGGCUCAGAACGGUUGGAAAUCGUUCGUAGAGUAUAAAGGUAUAAGCCAGCUUAACUGCAAGACAUACAAGUCAAGCAGAGACGAAAGUCGGUCUUAGUGAUCCGGUGGUUCUGUGUGGAAGGGCCAUCGCUCAAAGGAUAAAAGGUACCCCGGGGAUAACAGGCUGAUCUCCCCCAAGAGCUCACAUCGACGGGGAGGUUUGGCACCUCGAUGUCGGCUCAUCGCAUCCUGGGGCUGGAGCAGGUCCCAAGGGUAUGGCUGUUCGCCAUUUAAAGCGGUACGCGAGCUGGGUUCAGAACGUCGUGAGACAGUUCGGUCCCUAUCUGCCGUGGGCGUAAGAAGAUUGAAGAGAUUUGACCCUAGUACGAGAGGACCGGGUUGAACAAACCACUGGUGUAGCUGUUGUUCUGCCAAGAGCAUCGCAGCGUAGCUAAGUUUGGAAAGGAUAAACGCUGAAAGCAUCUAAGCGUGAAGCCAACUCUAAGAUGAAUCUUCUCUAAGCUCUCUAGAAGACUACUAGUUUGAUAGGCUGGGUGUGUAAUGGAUGAAAGUCCUUUAGCUGACCAGUACUAAUAGAGCGUUUGGCUUAUCUUUAAUAAAGCAU
rnacentral:rRNA from 1 species